AGAGUUUGAUCAUGGCUCAGGAUGAACGCUAGCGACAGGCUUAACACAUGCAAGUCGAGGGGCAGCACAGGUAGCAAUACCGGGUGGCGACCGGCGCACGGGUGAGUAACGCGUAUGCAACUUACCUAUCAGAGGGGGAUAACCCGGCGAAAGUCGGACUAAUACCGCAUGAAGCAGGGGCCCCGCAUGGGGAUAUUUGCUAAAGAUUCAUCGCUGAUAGAUAGGCAUGCGUUCCAUUAGGCAGUUGGCGGGGUAACGGCCCACCAAACCGACGAUGGAUAGGGGUUCUGGAGAGGAAGGUCCCCCANACUUGGAACUGAGACACGGUCCAAACGUCCUAACGGGAGCA
rnacentral:rRNA from 1 species